rnacentral:rRNA from 1 species
UACGUAGGGGGCAAGCGUUGUCCGGAAUCAUUGGGCGUAAAGCGCGUGUAGGCGGCUCGAUAAGUCUGCUGUGAAAGUCCAGGGCUCAACCCUGGGAUGCCGGUCGAUACUGCCGGACUAGAGUUCGGAAGAGGCGAGUGGAAUUCCCGGUGUAGCGGUGAAAUGCGCAGAUAUCGGGAGGAACACCUAUGGCGAAGGCAGCUCGCUGGGACGUUACUGACGCUGAGACGCGAAAGCGUGGGGAGCAAACAGG